GGUUGGGCAGGCAACUGCUUUCAAGUUUUGAGCUUUAAGGGUGGGGGGCU
rnacentral:ncRNA from 12 species